CCCUUAGAUGUUCUGGGCCGCACGCGCGCUACACUGACGAAUGCAACGAGCUUAUAACCUUGGCCGAAAGGUCUGGGUAAUCUCCAAAUUUCGUCGUGAUGGGGAUAGAUUAUUGCAAUUAUGGGUCUUCAACGAGGAAUUCCUAGUAAACGCAAGUCAUCAGCUUGCAUUGAUUACGUCCCUGCCCUUUGUACACACCGCCCGUCGCACCUACCGAUUGAAUGGUCCGGUGAAAUCUCGGGACGGCGGCUUGGUCGCUUGCGUCCGACUGCUGAAACUUGAUUAAACCAUAUCAUUUAGAGGAAGGUGAAGUCGUANCA
rnacentral:rRNA from 1 species